CCUACGGGAGGCAGCAGUGGGGAAUUUUGGACAAUGGGCGCAAGCCUGAUCCAGCAAUGCCGCGUGAGUGAAGAAGGCCUUCGGGUUGUAAAGCUCUUUUGUCAGGGAAGAAACGGUCUACUCUAAUACAGUGGGCUAAUGACGGUACCUGAAGAAUAAGCACCGGCUAACUACGUGCCAGCAGCCGCGGUAAUACGUAGGGUGCAAGCGUUAAUCGGAAUUACUGGGCGUAAAGCGUGCGCAGGCGGUUAUAUAAGUCAGAUGUGAAAUCCCCGGGCUCAACCUGGGAACUGCAUUUGAGACUGUAUGGCUAGAGUGUGUCAGAGGGGGGUAGAAUUCCACGUGUAGCAGUGAAAUGCGUAGAUAUGUGGAGGAAUACCGAUGGCGAAGGCAGCCCCCUGGGAUAACACUGACGCUCAUGCACGAAAGCGUGGGGAGCAAACAGGAUUAGAUACCCUGGUAGUCCACGCCCUAAACCGAUGUCUACUAGUUGUCGGGCUUAAUUGUCUUGGUAACGCAGCUAACGCGUGAAGUAGACCGCCUGGGGNGGUACGGUCGCGAGAGUAAACUAACGAAUAGAGUAGAGGCGNGAGAGUAGACGACGGACGACGACGAGGGAGGAGG
rnacentral:rRNA from 1 species